rnacentral:rRNA from 1 species
ACUCCUACGGGAGGCAGCAGUGGGGAAUAUUGCACAAUGGGAAGGCCAUCGAUGCAGCCAUGCCGCGCUGUGUGAAGAAGGCCAAUUCGGGCUUGGUUAAGACACUUUCAGCGAGGAGGAAAGGGUGUAAGUUAAUACCUGCUAGCUGUGACGUUACUUACAGAAGAAGCACCGGCUAACUCCGUGCCAGCAGCCGCGGUAAUACGGAGGGUGCGAGCGUUAAUCGGAAUUACUGGGCGUAAAGCGUACGCAGGCGGUUUGUUAAGCGAGAUGUGAAAGCCCGC